UCCUCCGAUUACAAGUCACAAAUAGUUUUUUUUAAUGGAAGGAGCGAUGUGCACUCUUAACAGAUCACAAGUCAAACAGAAAAAGAAAAGCAUAAAUGAAUAACCAUGAACCGUUGUUUUGAAAAAAAAAAAGCAGCCCAGAUGCGAACUGGACCUCAUACUUCAUCGAUCCCCUCCCGACCUCCGUCGAGGGCGCCGCUUCCCGACGUCCAAUGGCGAGCAGCCGGCUCUCGAUCCGGCGGGCGUAGUCUCGGCGACGGCAGCGGGAAACUUCAGCUCCGGCCAGAUCGACGGCGCCCUCGCCGCCGGUUUCCGAUGGGGCCAGGUCGGUUCGACUCUACUCCAUCGCCUCCCCAAGGGCACCCACCCCGACCGAAUACAGCGAAAAGAUCCCAAAUGUGGGCAUCGGCUGGGCGUGUAUCCCCUUCCGGUUAUAAUAAUGGCUGUAAAAAAAAAAAGAAAAGGAGCAGUGAAAAGAUCCCCUCCAAUACGGCAACGAUUAAAUUCUCUGCGGGUUAGGCUUGCGAAGUGCACAGAGAAUUCAGCAAGCUACACCUGAGGAGAUCUUUUAAAGCUAGAGACAUGAUGAAUUUUUCACGCUGCAAGUCUAUGACAGUAAAGAUUUGGCUGGAACAUCCAAUAUUUUCAGCCGAUUGUCUGAAGAUGUGAUUACCAAGGUUGCAAAGCAGCAAGAUCAGGUAUGUGCAGAGUUGCAGACAACCGCUGAGAGCCUGAGACUGAACUGAAUUUGUCCAGGCAUGGAAACGGAAAUAAUAGACCAUAGCAGCAUAGUUCUGAUUAGGUAGAUGAAGAAUCCAGCAUUUUGAAGAGUCUUUUAUGUUGCUCAGGGAUUCAUAGUACAUAAAUAUGCUGGAGGAAAUAGCACUGUCGCAAAGAGGCUUAAAAGCUGAAACAUGGAUGCUGAAGAAUAACUGCCAAUAAUUUUAGCUGAAGCUGACCAUAGCAAUGUUUGGUUAGUAUAGCAUACAGCAAACGUUAAUUUCAUUCAGAUAAGACAUGCAAAUUUGAUUUAUGGGAAAUGUCUCCCAUGUCUUUUUAAAACCUUCUGGUAUGGCUAGCUGGUUCUUUUGUAGGAAAGAAACAAAUCUGAAACAAGAACAUGUAGUUGACAUGUUGUACAUACUGGAAUACAAACAUUUGGUAUUGACUAGAGGACUGCAACAAUUCGUUCUUUCCCAACUUUCAUUGCCAUAUAUGUAUUGAAGCAUGUCCUGGUAAUACUUCCUUCACAAUUCGUUCUUUCUCAUUUGUCAGAUUAUGAGCCCCAACAAAUUUGGUGCAAAGUUUGUUAUGGGAACCUGGUAUAGAGUGUACACGUGAAAAAGGUAUGACAACAGAAUGAUUAACUGAUCAUUCUUAAUUUGUUAUUUGCUUUGAGAUAGCAAGAAGUAACUGAACUCAACACUUGGACUUGAUAUUAGGCAUACAUUAUCUGACUAGUACCAGCAUUGUAAUUUCAUUUUUCUGAUUGCCCAUGCAGGAACUUAUUAUUCAAUUUUGACGUUUCGUUUGUUUGUUUCAACCAUUUUGUACAGUUCAUCCCUGCCUACAUAAGUCUUCUCCAUGUUUAUCUAAAAUGGGAAAAAAAAAUUCUCCAUGUUUGUAUUUUACAGCUUUCACAUGUAGCGUCAAUUCUUUAGCAAACAUUUUGCUCUGCACCUCAAUCAGUUGGGCUUGAAUUUCUCUCAUAAAUCGAUUAUGUAAUGGUUAUGAAUUGCACUUCCAAUUACAUGCAGUACCUGUCCAGGCUGUUGAUAUAAUUGCCUCCAUAAAUCGAUCCUUAGUAUUUUUUGUUUCGGGUCUUUGCUCUUAUGCAGAAGUAGUGAAUUUUUAAUUCCCAUAUACUAUGCUAUCCUUCUUCGAACAUCAGUGCUAGGUUUUUUUUUUUUUUUUUUUUUUUUUUUUUUUUUUUUUUUGCGGGGAAUCAGUGCUAGGUAUUUGUCAACUACUGCUAAAUAUGUGGUAAAUGUUGUUUGCUAAUUGGUAUCCUGAUGUUUUUAUCAUGGAAAUAUAGCUGGACUUGGUUGUUUACUGUAUACGAGGAGAACCAUUUGGAUUGAGGCAAGGUGAUCCAUUAUCACCAUAUUUGUUGCUCUGUGCUGAAGGCUUUCUGCUGUAUUACUGAAGGCAGAGAAUGAAGGAAGAAUUGGCAGGGUUAAAAUUUGCCCAGGAGCACCAAGCAUCUCUCACCUGCUGUUGCCGAUGAUUCUUUAAUUCUGAUUCGUGCAAAUGGGGAGGAUGCAAUGCAAUUGCAAGGAAUUCUCCAAUUAUAUGAGUUGUCUUCAGGGCGAAUGAUAUGAGUCAGCUGUAAUUUUCAACAAGAACACUAGGGAUCAGAAGAGAAGCGAGGUGAUGCAAACGUUGCACAUAACAAAGGGAACACAAAAUGAGAAAUAUCUGGGGCUUCCAAUGUAUAUUAGAAAAUCUAGAGCUGAAGCUCUUGAGUAUCUAAAAGAUAAGAGUCUGGCAAAGAAUUCACAGGUGAAAGGAGAUUAUGAUCAAAGCUGCUCAAGCUAUCCCUAUCUACACCAUGGCAUAUUUUGAUUUGACAAAGGUGACCAGAUAAGCACUCUCAUUUCUAGGUAUUGGUGGAUCCAGCAAGAGAAGGAGAAAAAAAACGCAUUGGAUCAGUUGGGAUAAACUGAAAAAGGCAAAGAAACAAGAUGGCCUGGGUUUUAGAGACAUUUAUGCUAAGAUCCUUGCAAAAUUUCUAAUCGACUUGCCGAGUUUGGAUUGGAUGCUAGUGACAGAUGACCUGGCAUAUGAAUGGUUUGGAUCAUACCCAAAUGUAAAGCCUUGCUAUUUAUUAAUUUCCGGUUUACACGUGAUUUUAUUUUCAGUAGUAAAUUUCUCUGCAAAUUUUCAUUUGUAUCUAAUAACCAUACCAGAUUAAAUCAUCUGUUGAGUAGGCUAGGGAAUGUGCAUGGAAAACUGGGAAAACUAGAGAUGUACCGAUAGAGGACAAAGUCUAUCAUCGGCAGAUAUGUAAACAUUUCCUGAGAAACCUAGUACUGAUUCUAUUGUCCUCUACCAAAUUUUUGGGCAGGCUACAUGCCUUCGUGAACAAAUCAAUAUAGCCUUGGCUUACUUAUUUUAUCUUGUAACCGCGCGCUAAAACCAAACAACCGCAUUACCAAUUUGAGCACAAACAAAAAUUCCUUUAGAAAAAAAAGAAAAGAAAACAAAAAGAGGCGUGGACUGGGCCUGCAGCAGCUUGGGCUUGAUGCCCAGGCGUGAAGAGAGAAGCCCAGCCCGUGGCUUACAUCGACACUUGUGAUUCGAUGGGACGAUGGACGAUGGGAACCCUCGAUCUCCCCCUCACCUUGUCGCUUCCUCUUCUCCCCCGACGACGCCGCUUCCCCAAUUCCGGCUCCGGCGGCGAGCAGCUGGCUGCGGACGCGCCGUCAAAACCCCAGGAGGAUGUGGAUCUCCGGUGUACUCUCCGCGGCAUGCCGGCAUCGGCGGCGCGAAGAUUCUGCACCGGCUUAGAUCGACGGCGCCCCUCGCCGCGGGGCUUUCGUGGAGAGCAGCCAAUUGUCUGAAGAUGUGAAUAUCAAGAUUCCAAAUGACUAGCGACAAGAUCAUGUAUGUGCAGACGACCCCUGAGGCUGAACCAAACUCAUCCAGGCAUGGCAUGGGGAAAAAACAGACCAUAGCUCAUCCCGGCAUGAACGAAGAACCCGACAUUUUGCAUAUUUUUUCUGAUGCUCUGGAUUCAUAGUGCAAUUAGUCAUGAUGUCAUAAUGCAGGCUAACGAUGGCCAGAAGCUGCACCUAGAAGCAGAAGCUUAACAGGUGGCACAAACGGCAGUUGAAGCUUGACUCCAAUUAGAAGUCAUGAUAGUUUUUCUGUUGCUACUUGGACUGGAAGAGCUGGUGUGCCAGGGCACCAUCCUCUGUGUUCUUGAAGUUUAAGUCAACACCUCAAUAGGCACUGGUUUAAUGAGCUCUUCUCAGCCAUCACAAACUUCGAAUAGCAGGGCCAAAGUCUGACAAACUUUUAGUUAGGAUACCUGGAAUGUGAGGAGCUGCUUCAGAUGCACUUGAACUUCCCUUUGCAAUUCGCUACAAAGAAAAAGAUAAAGAGGAUCUGGAACAUCAGCUCAACCUGGGACUGGCUUCCAAUCACACACCAAGUUCAUCAUAGAAAGGCCAUGCAUCAAGCUCUUCUACUAGGAACAUUAUUAUUCAGUCUCAGUCCUAAUUCGCCAAUGUGCACCUUCAGUCUUGAGCCAGCUCUGCAAGCAAUAACUGAACAUUUAAAGAACUGCAUUUUGUGCAGCGAUAUGGUGCGGUUUCAGAAUCUGUUGAAGGAAAUAGCAGUGUUGUAAAGAUGCACAAAUGGUGCAACAUGGGUGCUCAAACCUGACUACCGUUAAUGUGUUUAUCUGCACCUUGGACGGCAGAGGGGAACCUCUCUAUUUAGACCUGAAGAGUCAUUGCAAAGAGUCAUUACUGGACAGUCUUAUUUGGUAGAAGGAGAAUGGCCUCAUGCAAGAAGAGUGUUCUCUUUGUUGUCUCUGAACCUGCCUGUCUAGGAUGCCCAUCUUGGUACCCAGUUGGCACCUUGCAAGGACGUUGCAAUAUUGUUUGGAAAACAACCUCAUCAUUCUCAAAUAUUUUGCAAUGUAGUGUAUGCAUGCAGCAAGAUGGACACAACACAAAUCGAUGAAACCAGCCUCAGUGAGAGUCCGAGCUGGCCGAGGGUCAGCCUCCAAAUUAAAAAAAUAUUUUUUUCCUGGUCUUUGGAAUGCCAAGACGAUGGAGAUGCAGGCAAUCCUGACCGUUCAUUUUUUCACGUGUCAGCACAGGAGCCCUCUAGAUUGGGCCGGUGUUUUCCGUUACCAGUGCCUUUCAGCUCAUGGGCCACGGCCAGCAAUUGUUCCAACUGCCACUUUUGGGGCCCAUUCCGUUGGGUGCGUGCCCAAGGUGAUCCGGACAUGUGGGCCCCUCUCGUGGUAGAAACCCUUGAACAACCGAUCAAGAUCAGCUCAAAAUCGAAUCAGCAUGGGAACAAAGGAAGAGAGAUGCAUGGAUGUAGUUUAAUUUGCUCCUAAUCUUAUCUUAGCCACGUAGCAUGUGUACGGUUUGAUGUGUGUCCACAGAUGGGAGAAUUUACUAAUCAUAAAACAUGAAGUGGUACCGAUUGCCUCUAUAAAAUUAUGGGGAAAAUUCCAAAUA